rnacentral:lncRNA from 1 species
UAGCAACAAAUCCUUCUAAAUAAGCAGUAAUGAAUUAACAAAUCAUUCAAUCAAUCAAAUAACAUAUUUAUUGGGGAAAAAAAAUAUUCAGUAAUAAAAAGCACUUAAAUUCGUAUAUAUGAAUAUAUAUGAUGAUGACUCUGAUCAAAUACGUAUCUGAAAUUCUCACUCUACAGAAUCUCUCUCCUGGCGGCGAACCCGUACUGCGACCGCUGGAUAUUCUGUUGCCGCUUCUUGUACACCACCACGCCGGCGAUGACUACGCACGCUCCGGCGAUCACUCCGACCGCCACACCGGCUUUCUGCCCGCUGCUCAUUCCGCCGGAUGACUCGCCGUUGCUGUCCAAAUCAGCCGCAUUGGGCUUAGUCUCGCGCUUGAUGUCUCCGGUGUCCGCUGCCGGCGCGGGAGAGUGGGAGGGAGACUCGCUGUUCGGAGUCGGUGCGGGAGAAGGUGAGUGUGAGUCGAGAUCUGAGGGCGGCGGCGCCGGAGGCGAGGAGAAGGAGUGGGCGGGUGAAGGCGCGGAGGCAGGGGAGGCCGGGGGCGGAGAGAUUUCGUCGGCGGGCGGAUGCGGAGGUUGAGAAGGAGCAUGCGCCGGCGAGUGAUCGGAGAGGACGGGGUAGGUGAAGAGGAGGAGUGAGAAGACGAGGUGCAGAGGGGAAAUCGACGCCAUGGAUGAGAUCUGGGAGGUGGAUUGGAGGUUGAAUGUGAGUGGAAUAGUAAUUGACUGGAGGAGAUAGAGAGUGAGCUGGGGAUCUGAGUAAGAAAACGAGUAAUGAGGAAAAGGUGAGAGAUCUUUGCGAAAAUGGAAGAUCUGAGAGAAAUGUGGAGCUGUCUCUGUGUAUGUGUGUGUGUGUGUGUGUGUGUGUGUGUGUGUGUGAGAGAGAGAGAGAGAGAGAGAGAGAGGAGGUGGGAUGAGAGUAGGUAAUUAAGUGGAGUAGGUANGUCUCUGUGUAUGUGUGUGUGUGUGUGUGUGUGUGUGUGUGUGUGUGAGAGAGAGAGAGAGAGAGAGAGAGAGAAGGUGGGAUGAGAAUGGGAUUAAAUUGGAGAUGGGAAUGGAAUGGUGGCGUGAGCAGCGGAGGAGAGUUUU